GAGUGGCGAACUGGUGAGUAACACGUGGGAAACCUGCCCAGAAGCGGGGGAUAACACCUGGAAACAGAUGCUAAUACCGCAUAACAACUUGGACCGCAUGGUCCGAGUUUGAAAGAUGGCUUCGGCUAUCACUUUUGGAUGGUCCCGCGGCGUAUUAGCUAGAUGGUGAGGUAACGGCUCACCAUGGCAAUGAUACGUAGCCGACCUGAGAGGGUAAUCGGCCACAUUGGGACUGAGACACGGCCCAAACUCCUACGGGAGGCAGCAGUAGGGAAUCUUCCACAAUGGACGAAAGUCUGAUGGAGCAACGCCGCGUGAGUGAAGAAGGGUUUCGGCUCGUAAAACUCUGUUGUUAAAGAAGAACAUAUCUGANAGUAACUGUUCAGGUAUUGACGGUAUUUAACCAGAAAGCCACGGCUAACUACGUGCCANCAGCCGCGGUAAUACGUAGGUGGCAAGCGUUGUCCGGAUUUAUUGNGCGUAAAGCGAGCGCAGGCGGUUUUUUAAGUCUGAUGUGAAAGCCUUCGGCUCAACCGAAGAAGUGCAUCGGAAACUGGGAAACUUGAGUGCAGAAGAGGACAGUGGAACUCCAUGUGUAGCGGUGAAAUGCGUAGAUAUAUGGAAGAACACCAGUGGCGAAGGCGGCUGUCUGGUCUGUAACUGACGCUGAGGCUCGAAAGUAUGGGUAGCAAACAGGAUUAGAUACCCUGGUAGUCCAUACCGUAAACGAUGAAUGCUAAGUGUUGGAGGGUUUCCGCCCUUCAGUGCUGCAGCUAACGCAUUAAGCAUUCCGCCUGGGGAGUACGGCCGCAAGGCUGAAACUCAAAGGAAUUGNCGGGGGCCCGCACAAGCGGUGGAGCAUGUGGUUUAAUUNGAAGCUACGCGAAGAACCUUACCAGGUCUUGACAUACUAUGCAAAUNUAAGAGAUUAGACGUUCCCUUCGGGGACAUGGAUACAGGUGGUGCAUGGUUGUCGUCAGCUCGUGUCGUGAGAUGUUGGGUUAAGUCCCGCAACGAGCGCAACCCUUAUUAUCAGUUGCCAGCAUUAAGUUGGGCACUCUGGUGAGACUGCCGGUGACAAACCGGAGGAAGGUGGGGAUGACGUCAAAUCAUCAUGCCCCUUAUGACCUGGGCUACACACGUGCUACAAUGGAUGGUACAACGAGUUGCGAACUCGCGAGAGUAAGCUAAUCUCUUAAAGCCAUUCUCAGUUCGGAUUGUAGGCUGCAACUCGCCUACAUGAAGUCGGAAUCGCUAGUAAUCGCGGAUCAGCAUGCCGCGGUGAAUACGUUCCCGGGCCUUGUACACACCGCCCGUCACACCAUGAGAGUUUGUAACACCCAAAGUCGG
rnacentral:rRNA from 1 species